AAAUAUCUGUACUUCAUUGCUAUUUAUGUCAUUUUAAAACACUUUUCUCAAACAAAUACCUUCAUAUUUUCGGAAAGUCAAAACCAGUAUUAAUGUUACUUCUGGGCCAUUGAUUAUGGAUAACUCGUGGUUUCUUACCUUUAUUGUUGGCUGUAUUGUUGGGUAUUUGAUAGGGAAACAUCAUUAAAAAAGCUUUUCCGAGUUUCACAUUAACUGAUUAUUUUUGGCAAAAAUGGAUGUUGACUGGGUGAUCACAUUUCUAGUUGGCUGUUUGGUAGGAUACAUGGUGGCCAGGAAUACCUGAAAUUCAAAAAUUUUCCAAAUCCAAAUCAAAGAAGCAACAUGACCCACGUUAUCUCCUUUGCCCUGGGCGUGAUUAUUGGAAUGAUGAGCUGCCGAAAAUGCUAAAAUCCUUUUGAGCUGAAUUUAUCACAAAUUUAUCAAGAAAUAUGGCUAAAUAAAUAUAAGAUUUAAAAAUUCAUGUUUUGUUUUUUUGUUUAUUUGUUUAAAUAGAUUUUGUAGUUAGUUGGCUUUGUUGCUAAAGUCUUUGAAUUUUAUUAGUGUUUUAAAUAAGAAACCUAAAAUUGGCUUUUGAAAUCUAUAUUAUUUAACAAACAUGGAGUGGCUUUUGGUAUUUAUUAUUGGCUGUAUUGUUGGAUAUCUAGUAUCGCAGCAUACAUAGAUGAGGUUUUUAUAAAUUGGACUAGAAAUAUGUGAGUGAGUCUAAAUCAGAGGACGGCACACCCCACCACACAGUUAAAAUACUAUUUGUGAGUUUUUUUCUCUAUUCAAUAUGUAUUUGUAUGCAUAAAAACCGCAUUGAUGUGCCGGCAGAGCGCCAGCAAAUCGCUAUUCUGUCCGACCGCUGAACUAAAAUGGUUGAAUAUUCAAAUUGUCGACAUUCUACUUGACGUGUACGUUUCGUGUACUUAAAAAUAUUCAAAAUUUUGCGUUUAAAUCCGCGGAGAUUCUAUUUCUAUUAGAAAAUAUGCAACGCUUUAUCACUUUCAUUGUUGGAGGAAUCGUUGGUUUCCUCGUUGCCAAGAAUACCCGUUAAACAUCAUGGCCUAUGUCAUCUGCUUCGGAUUGGGCAUGGUGUUCGGCAUGUUUGUAUGCCGACGUUGCGAGCCGUGAUGUAGACGAUUUAUGGACCUUGUAACUCCUGCAGCCCUGCAGGAAUUCAAGAUCUAGAGUGCCAUCUUCUGACUUAUGGAUAUUUAAUAAACAAUUAAUAAUUGCCGACA